CAGGGGAAACAAAGCUGGGCGUGCAUGCCAAUGUCCUUGUCAGUCUUGGAUCCUGGGCCUCCAAGGGCUCCGUUGUAGCCUUCAGUGUCCACAAAGCACUGGUGUGAGGUUGAGACAGGUGAAGAGCAGGCAGAGGGACUCAGCCUCGCCUCAGAUCCACAGCCUGCCCAGGAGGAAGCCUGAAGCACACUGUGGGUGAGGUCAGAUCUUGGCAGAGUAUCCGGAUGCCUCGCAAAGCCAGCUUCCCCAGCUGGGUCUGGAAUGGGGUCCACAGUGCCCCUCCAAAUAUGGUAGUUUUACUGGUUUUACCCAAUCUUGGCAACCUCCAGAGCCCGUGCAGCCAAAUCUGUGGCUUUGAAUAUGAGAAUCACCUCAACCAGCAUUCUUUCUAAGGCAACGUGUGAAGAGGGUUGGGUGAGUCAGGAAAGCGUCUCUGUGACCUCUGUGAAGUAAAGGAUGGAUCCCAAAAGGAUUGUGAGAGCCUUGGAUUUGCAGCCAAAUCAGACAGAGGGGAAAUGCAGCCUGGAAAUGCACAGUUUCUUCCCAAAUCUAAGGAAGUCUGGCAAGACUGAGAGCCCUCUUGUUUCUUUGCAUCAUUUUAUUUUAUUUUAUUUUAUUUUAUUUUAUUUUUGCUACUGUUGUUUUGGAGAUAAGGUCCCAAGUGGUCUAGGCUGACUUUGAACUGGUUAUGUGGCCAAGGUUGACUCUGAACUCAUGAUAGAGGUAUAGAUAUCUUUGACUCCGUUUCCCAAGUGCUUAGAACACAGGUAUGCCCCAUUCCACUUGGCAAAGCCAAGAUUUACACUUGUGGGAUCUGAUGCUAUCACCAGGUAGAUGUUGUCAGACCUGAAUUGCAUUGUGGGACACCCAGCUGGUCACAGAAGAUUGAUGAAUGUGAAGAAUCUACAUCUGGCCACAAAAGAAUCCCGUGUUGGGAAGCCCAGGGAACAGAAACAGGCAUGGGGUCUCUUGCCUCUCAAGACACUAGGCUGGUGCUCUCUAGAGACCUGUGCGGGAGCAACAUCUGUCCGGAGACCUUGAAGCCGCAUUCCAUCAAAGAUUCUCUAAAACAGUAAGUCCAAUACAGGAGCCACCAGCUGGCAAUCACUUGACACAUGGCCACUGGAUGUGCUAAAUGUAAAAAGUGCACAUGCUUUGAAGGACAUGUGGAAUGAAACAUUCAAAGCAGCUCCGUAAUAAUUGUUUUUAACAUCGAUUAUGCUAAACUGGUAAUAUUCUUCUUUUACUAGUUAAAUAUAUUGUUUACAUUAUUCUUAUUGUAAAAUACAUAUGGUGUAAGCUUA
rnacentral:lncRNA from 1 species